rnacentral:rRNA from 1 species
CUAGGCCUACGGGGGGCAGCAGUGGGGAAUAUUGCACAAUGGGCGAAAGCCUGAUGCAGCAACGCCGCGUGAAGGAAGAAGGGUUUCGGCUCGUAAACUUCUAUUAACAGGGACGAAAGAAAUGACGGUACCUGAAUAAGAAGCCCCGGCUAACUACGUGCCAGCAGCCGCGGUAAUACGUAGGGGGCAAGCGUUAUCCGGAAUUACUGGGGGUAAAGGGUGAGUAGGCGGCAUGGUAAGCCAGAUGUGAAAGCCUUGUGCUUAACCCGAGGAUUGCAUUUGGAACUAUCCAGCGAGAGUACAGG